CGCAAGACUUUUUUGACAACCCAUUAUUUUUUAUUUUACCUUUAAAGUUAUGUGUUUAGGAUAAUAAAUGAUAUAAAUAAAGUGUUAUGAAGCGAAAUUAAAUAUUGGUAAAAUUUUAAUUAUUUAAAGUGUUAAUUCAACUUAGACGGGCUGCUCUGCCCGGGAAGUAAUACUCCUCCCAAUGGACUUCAGAGAUUGCUCCCACAUCUUCCGGAGGUGAUCCUUCCGCCAAUAUUUCGGUUUCAUCUAUAAAAAUACCACGUUUUUGUAAUAUGUUGUGAAAAAUUACACAUGUAUAAACAAAUAAUGCAGCUUUUGAGUGUUUAUACCGCAAUGAUUUGUCACCGGUGUAAGAAGCUCCAAUGGAUAUCCUGAGUCACCCAAAAGCCAUUUAAAGGCUUCAUAAAAAUGCUAUCUUAUAAGCUUUAUCUUUCAUGGCGAAGUAGUCCAAAGACAUGGCAAGAGCCGCGAAAUCUUGCAUUCACGUGUCGCUUCAACAUUAAUGCUAUAAUCCCGUUUUCUAUUCAGAACCGCAAAACCACCAAAUAUGAAUUCAGAAUUUCAAAAGGCAUGUAGGGUACGCCAAAAAAUUAAGAAAAUUUAAAAUAAACGAGAAAGAACCGCAAAACCACCAAAUACGAAUGCAGAAUUUCAAAAGGCAUAUAGGGAACGCCAAAAAAUUAAGAAAAUUGAAAGUAAACGAGAAAGAUAUGUUAAAGUAUUAAUCAUCGAUGAAAUAAGCAUGAUUAGUGCAGAGCUAUUAGGCAAAAUUGACAUGCGUUUAAAACAGAUUACCGGAAGAGGUAAAGCUGACUUUGGUGGCAUAGAUGUGAUUUUAAUUGGGGAUUUACGACAAGCACCACCAGUAAGGGCAACAGCCAUAUAUAAUCCAGUUAAAACAAAUAUUUUUGGACCUUAUUUGUGGAGAACAUUAAAAUUUUAUCAACUGACUGAAGUAGUGAGACAGACUAAUGUUCAAUUUUCGAAUAUUCUAACUAAGAUAGGCAACGGAGAUCCAUUGGAUGAGGAUGAAUUUCAAAUUAUUGAAUCCAGAUUUUUUACCAAAGAAGAUGCCGAAAGAUUGUGUCCUCAUGGAGUUCGUUUGUUUCAUGAAAACGUUCGUGUUGACGCUUACAACAAUUAUGUUUUGCAAAAAUUUGAAGAAAAAAUAAUUUCGACAGCUGACGAUGUGAUCACUGGUCCAAAAAGUCGUGAACAAGAGACUAAUUGUCGUCAGAAACUGCAUAAAAAGAAUCUCAAUGAAGUUGGUGGGUUACCGUAUCAAAUUACUUUUGUUAAAUCUAUGUAUUACCUUAUAACCACUAACAUCGAUGUAACUGAUGGCUUAUGUAAAAUCAGAACCACUAAGAACAUUUCUUUUAGAAAAAUUUAAAUUACUUAUAAAUAACAAUCCAAAAGAAUCGACAACGAGAUACGGUACUACUAUUGAUGCUGUUUUUUCGAGGUAUUUGCAUAAAAUAGAAUCACAAACAUAUGUAUCAUAUUUUAGUUACCACAAGCCAAUAAUUUCAGCAAUAGAAUUCA